rnacentral:rRNA from 1 species
AUGAAGACAUGGCAGCUUUUCAUGGUCUAUCUUCUCACUCAUGCCCUCUUUUUUCACACAUCCAGCUCCUCCCAAUCCACGAACAACCAAAGUAGCAACUACAACGUCAAUCUCCGUGUGCUCCUAUCAUUCAGAUCCUUCAUAACCAGUGAUCCUAAACAGGCACUGUCCUCUUGGUCUUGGGAUCAUGUCGGCAACGGCACAAGCACAGCACCAUUGCCUGAUUACUGCGAGUGGACGGGUGUCGCCUGCAUCAACCGCCGGCACCCAGGCCAUGUCACUGCCAUACGUUUGCAGGGCUUGGGACUCGUCGGCACCAUCUGCCCGCAGCUCGGUAAUCUGACCCGCCUCCGCACUCUCAGUCUUUCAUCCAACAACCUAGAAGGUAAGAUCCCGGGUAGCCUCAGUGGUUGUAUAUCGCUUCGUGCCUUGGACCUAAGGAUGAACUACCUUUUUGGCUCCAUGCCUGCUUCUUUGGGUCUCCUAUCAAAGCUCACAUCACUCAGCGUUAGCCAUAACAAUCUGACUGGUGAUAUUCCAAUGUCAUUCUCCAACCUCACAGCCCUCACUAACCUUAGCAUGAGUAGCAACCACUUCCAUGGCCAAAUCCUGAGCUGGCUCGGCAACCUGACAUCACUGACACACUUAGAAUUAGGCCAGAAUGGUUUCAGUGGCCAUAUCUCUCCGGCUCUCGGUAAGAUGGCUAAUCUUGUUAGAUUCGACAUCAGGGCUAACAAACUGGAAGGCCUUUUUCCCACGUCCAUGUUCAAUAUUUCUUCCAUCACAUACUUCAGCAUCGGCUUCAACCGGUUCUCGGGAUCUCUUCCGCUUGAUAUUGGCUUUAAGCUUUCCAAGCUAAAUCUUUUGGCCACACAUGGGAACCAAUUCGUAGGACGAAUACCAUCUUCCUUGUCAAAUGCAUCUGCACUUGAAUAUUUAUUUCUUCGCGAAAAUAAGCAUCAUGGUCCUAUUCCACGGGACAUUGGCAUCCAUGGUCAUUUCCGGAAAUUUUCGUUAGGACACAAUUUGCUUCAAACCACAGAGCCUAGGGAUUGGGAUUUCCUCACAUCAUUGACAAACUGUAGCAACCUGGAAAUACUAGACCUUGAACAAAACAACCUUGAAGGUGUUAUGCCAGUUACCAUUGCUAAUCUAUCUAGAAACAAAAUAACUGGGACCAUACCUGCAGGGCUAGGAAAGUAUAAAAAACUUACAAAGUUUAACAUCGCAAAUAGCCUUUUCACAGGCACCUUGCCUCUAGAUAUUUGCCAGAUUCCUAGCCUACAGUAUCUCGAUCUAUCCCAUAAUAGAUUCUAUGGGAAGAUUCCACAAUCAUUAGGCAAUAUCACCCAAUUGUACAACCUCUCUCUUUCUAAUAACUUUCUGGACGGCAUCAUUCCAUCGAGCAUUGGAAAUCUCACAAAACUUUUAUCUCUGGAUCUUUCCGGUAACUCAUUGGGGGGGGGGAUCCCAUAUGAGAUAGUUAGUGUUACCUCUCUGACCUUACUUAUCAACCUCUCCAGCAAUGCUCUUAGUGGCUCCAUUCCAACACAGAUAGGAAAGUUGAACAACCUUGUCACACUCGACUUAUCAAUGAACAAGCUCUCUGGUGAAAUCCCAGAUGCUCUCGGCAGUUACGUCCAACUGAAUUUCCUAUAUUUGCAAGGAAAUCUUUUGCAUGGGCAAAUACCAAAAGAUUUUUCUUCUAUAAGAGGCCUCGUAAAGUUGGAUCUUUCCAAUAAUAAUUUAACAGGACCCGUACCUGAGUUCCUCCAGAGUUAUGAGCUCCUAACGUAUCUAAACCUCUCUUUCAACAACCUAUCUGGUCCCAUGCCAAAUACAUGGAUCUUCCGCAAUUCCACUAUAAUGUUGCUCCCUGGUAAUAGCAUGCUAUGCGGAGGUCCCCCAUCACUGAAACUGUCUUCAUGUCCAUAUAUACGUUCUAACCAGGCUUCACAGCAUCGACGUCGGGUCAUACUCUUUUGCAUGGUUGGAACUUUGGUCUUAUCCAUGUGCUCCCUAACUGCAUGCUACUUGAUGAAGCCAAGAAUCAAACCAAACAUUGUUGAUCAAGAAACCAUAUUUCACCAUGAGAGGAUAUCCUAUGCUGAGAUAGAUGCAGCAACAGAAUCAUUCUCACCGGAAAAUUUCAUUGGUUCUGGAAGUUCUGGCAAUGUGUACGUUGGAACUCUAAAUCUUGAUGAGAGUUUAUAUACUGUAGCAAUCAAGGUUCUCAAUCUUGGCAAACGAGGAGCUAAUAGAAGCUUCUUGAGAGAGUGUGAGGCCCUAAGGAAGAUUCGACACCGGAAACUUGUCAAAGUGAUCACUGUGUGUAGCAGUUUGGACCGUAAAUGUGAUGAGUUCAAGGCAUUUGUCUUAGAGUUUAUCUGCAACGGAAAUUUAGAUGAGUGGCUGCAUCCAAACUCCAUGACUAACAACAGGAACUUUAGAAGGCUAAGUUUGAUGGAAAGGCUAUGCAUUGCUCUUGAUGUUGCUGAGGCAUCAGAAUAUCUUCACCAUCAAAUUGAGUCAUCCAUAGUUCACUGUGAUAUCAAACCGUGCAACAUCCUUCUAGAUGAUGACUUUGUUGCGCACGUCACCGACUUUGAUCUGGCAAAGAUAAUGCAUACUGAAGAAUGUGAGCACGGUGGUAUUGGAACUGCAAGCAGCUCAUUUGUGAUUAAAGGCACAAUUGGAUACGUUGCACCAGAGUAUGGCUUGGGAUCUGAACCCUCCACAGAAGGUGACGUAUAUAGCUACGGGGUGUUGCUAUUAGAAAUAUUUACUGGAAGGAGGCCAACCGACAAUUUCAUGGAUGGUGUGAUAAGCCUUGUCAAAUAUGUCAUGGUGGCCUAUCCUGAUAAGCUACUGAAUAUAUUGGAUGCGAGUGCAACCUACAGCGAGACACGCAGCGUAUUGUAG